UUCAAGUGUAUUUGUGGUUUCUGUGUUCAAUAUUUAACCAUCUAUCUUAUAUAUUUUUUUUAUGGUUGGUAUUUUUAUUGUUAUUAGAUGAUGAAAUAUGAAUAUUACUUUAUGCAUGAUUUUUUUUUAUUUUUUCAUAUUUUUUUAAAUAAGACAGACGGUCAAACGUUGAAUACAAAUAUACUUAAA
rnacentral:pre_miRNA from 1 species